rnacentral:rRNA from 1 species
CCUACGGGAGGCAGCAGUGGGGAAUAUUGCGCAAUGGGCGAAAGCCUGACGCAGCGACGCCGCGUGAGGGAUGAAGGUCUUCGGAUCGUAAACCUCUGUCAGCAGGGAAGAACGGUCACUGUGCUAAUCAGCAGUGAAUUGACGGUACCUGCAAAGGAAGCACCGGCUAACUCCGUGCCAGCAGCCGCGGUAAUACGGAGGGUGCGAGCGUUAAUCGGAAUUACUGGGCGUAAAGCGCUCGUAGGCGGUAUGUCAAGUCAAGGGGGAAAUCCCCGCGCUCAACGUGGGAACUGCCUUUGAAACUGGCAAACUGGAGAGUGUGAGAGGAUAGUGGAAUUGCAGGUGUAGGAGUGAAAUCCGUAGAUAUCAGGAGGAACAUCAGUGGCGGAGGCGACUAUCUGGCACAUAACUGACGCUGAGGAGCGAAAGCGUGGGUAGCAAACAGGAUUAGAUACCCGUGUAGUC